AGAUUCCCUGGCAGGAGACUAUGACCUUGAAAGAAAGGAUUAUUUAUCAAUUCUGAAGGUCCAAGAUUCUGAAUGUCUACCAACUUCUGAGAUAAUGGCAAAGCUGCUGAUCCAUGGACCACAUUUGGAAAACCAAAAAGGCCACAAGAUGGUUGUAGAAGCUUCAAAAUGUCCUCACAUUCCAAAACCUACAGCAAGAAGGCAGGAACAUACAAUCAAUGAAGGAAGGCAAGAACAACAACAAAAAAACAACAUAUAAAAUAGAACUCAAUGUGUAAGUGAAAUUGUACUGGAAAAUGAACUACAGAAGCUUAAAGAAACAAUUUUGACUUCCAAAUGCUAGUAUUUGGCAUUUAAGAACUAGAACGAAUGCAUCGCCAGUUUAGUAUUCUGCUGGGAUGUCUGAGUGCAAUGUGUUCUUGGUAAUGAAGCAUAUCUCCUGCAGUGUACAGAUAGCUAGAAUCUUUAUUUCUGGUACAAAGUAAAAGACAAUGAAUUAAAUAUGUGGCAGCUGAAUUUGUGUGCACAGCCAUACUAAGCAAAGACAGAGAGGUACGUUAUACUAUUUGGACAGCAAACCAUCCUCAGAAACUUUAAGUCCUCUUUCAUCUGGGGACACUGGCCAAAUUUGGAUCACUGUAUUGGGCUUGCUGGUUAAUAUAUGAUCAGAACUAGUUUUCAUUCCUUUUCUUUAAUAUACA